GACGGAGGGUGCUAGCGUUGUUCGGAAUGACUGGGCGUAAAGGGCGCGUAGGCGGCUCGUGAAGUCGGGUGUGAAAGCCCGGGGCUCAACCCCGGAACGGCAUCCGAUACUGGCGGGCUUGAGACCGGGAGAGGAGGGUGGAAUACCCAGUGUAGAGGUGAAAUUCGUAGAUAUUAGGAAGAACACCGGUGGCGAAGGCGGCCCACUGGAUCGGUACUGACGCUGAGGUGCGAAAGCGUGGGGAGCAAACAGG
rnacentral:rRNA from 1 species